rnacentral:rRNA from 1 species
AGUGAACGCUGGCGGUAGGCCUAACACAUGCAAGUCGAACGGCAGCACAGUAAUAGCUUGCUCUUACGGGUGGCGAGUGGCGGACGGGUGAGGAAUACAUCGGAAUCUACUUUUUCGUGGGGGAUAACGUAGGGAAACUUACGCUAAUACCGCAUACGACCUACGGGUGAAAGCAGGGGAUCUUUGGACCUUGCGCGAUUGAAUGAGCCGAUGUCGGAUUAGCUAGUUGGCGGGGUAAAGGCCCACCAAGGCGACGAUCCGUAGCUGGUCUGAGAGGAUGAUCAGCCACACUGGAACUGAGACACGGUCCAGACUCCUACGGGAGGCAGCAGUGGGGAAUAUUGGACAAUGGGCGCAAGCCUGAUCCAGCCAUACCGCGUGGGUGAAGAAGGCCUUCGGGUUGUAAAGCCCUUUUGUUGGGAAAGAAAGGCAGCAGGUUAAUACCCCGCUGUUCUGACGGUACCCAAAGAAUAAGCACCGGCUAACUUCGUG